rnacentral:rRNA from 1 species
AGAGUUUGAUCCUGGCUCAGGAUGAACGCUAGCGACAGGCUUAACACAUGCAAGUCGAGGGGCAGCACAGGUAGCAAUACCGGGUGGCGACCGGCGCACGGGUGAGUAACGCGUAUGCAACUUACCUAUCAGAGGGGGAUAACCCGGCGAAAGUCGGACUAAUACCGCAUGAAGCAGGGGUCCCGCAUGGGGAUAUUUGCUAAAGAUUCAUCGCUGAUAGAUAGGCAUGCGUUCCAUUAGGCAGUUGGCGGGGUAACGGCCCACCAAACCGACGAUGGAUAGGGGUUCUGAGAGGAAGGUCCCCCACAUUGGUACUGAGACACGGACCAAACUCCUACGGGAGGCAGCAGUGAGGAAUAUUGGUCAAUGGGCGUAAGCCUGAACCAGCCAAGUCGCGUGAGGGAUGAAGGUUCUAUGGAUCGUAAACCUCUUUUAUAAGGGAAUAAAGUGCGGGACGUGUCCCGUUUUGUAUGUACCUUAUGAAUAAGGAUCGGCUAACUCCGUGCCAGCAGCCGCGGUAAUACGGAGGAUCCGAGCGUUAUCCGGAUUUAUUGGGUUUAAAGGGUGCGUAGGCGGCCUUUUAAGUCAGCGGUGAAAGUCUGUGGCUCAACCAUAGAAUUGCCGUUGAAACUGGGGGGCUUGAGUAUGUUUGAGGCAGGCGGAAUGCGUGGUGUAGCGGUGAAAUGCUUAGAUAUCACGCAGAACCCCGAUUGCGAAGGCAGCCUGCCAAGCCAUGACUGACGCUGAUGCACGAAAGCGUGGGGAUCAAACAGGAUUAGAUACCCUGGUAGUCCACGCAGUAAACGAUGAUCACUAGCUGUUUGCGAUACAGUGUAAGCGGCACAGCGAAAGCGUUAAGUGAUCCACCUGGGGAGUACGCCGGCAACGGUGAAACUCAAAGGAAUUGACGGGGGCCCGCACAAGCGGAGGAACAUGUGGUUUAAUUCGAUGAUACGCGAGGAACCUUACCCGGGCUUAAAUUGCAGAUGAAUUACGGUGAAAGCCGUAAGCCGCAAGGCAUCUGUGAAGGUGCUGCAUGGUUGUCGUCAGCUCGUGCCGUGAGGUGUCGGCUUAAGUGCCAUAACGAGCGCAACCCUUGCCACUAGUUACUAACAGGUAAAGCUGAGGACUCUGGUGGGACUGCCAGCGUAAGCUGCGAGGAAGGCGGGGAUGACGUCAAAUCAGCACGGCCCUUACAUCCGGGGCGACACACGUGUUACAAUGGCGUGGACAAAGGGAUGCCACCUGGCGACAGGGAGCGAAUCCCCAAACCACGUCUCAGUUCGGAUCGGAGUCUGCAACCCGACUCCGUGAAGCUGGAUUCGCUAGUAAUCGCGCAUCAGCCAUGGCGCGGUGAAUACGUUCCCGGGCCUUGUACACACCGCCCGUCAAGCCAUGGGAGCCGGGGGUACCUGAAGUGCGUAACCGCGAGGAGCGCCCUAGGGUAAAACUGGUGACUGGGGCUAAGUCGUAACAAGGUAGCCGUACCGGAAGGUGCGGCUG